rnacentral:sRNA from 1 species
UAUUUAAUCAUUACGUGGGAAUUCAUUUCUCCAUAAAUAGGAUGUACUAAAGAGGUCUUUCUACCUCAUCAGAUACCUGACCUGCCUCGCCGCUGAAUAUUGAUAAUGACUGCACAUUAAACAAGAGGCCAAUGGGCCUUAACGGUCACUUGAGUAGCAUAUAACCUAUACACAAACUUGUCGAGGAGUCUCAUAUGCAUUUUAAUUAAUUAUGUUUCAUUCUGGAGUAGAAAAAUUAUAAAUUUGUAAUGACGACCACCUCCCUGCCUGAAAUCUUUCAAAAAGAACUAUGAAACCUAUAAUUUUGGCGAAAAACUUAUGGGGUAGAGCCAUGAAUUUCACUAUUUAGAUUCCUCUUGCCAUAGAGAUGCCUCACACCAAAAAUGGUAACAAUCAGCCUUGUAGUUUUUAAUAAGAAGUUAAAAAUGUUAAUUGUUAACGCACGUCGCACAACGACGGACGAAAACUGGUUACAAUAACUCAGGUGACCUCAAAAUGUCAAUAAUUUUUCUGUACACAAUUCUCUAAUCUUCCUCACCUAAGAUUAGUUUGUACCAAAUCUGACUGAUAAUGAACCAGCUGUUCCAGCGAUUCAAUAAAAAUUUGAAAAGAUAAAGGCACAUAAAUAUAUGGCAUUCUUAACUUUUAUAUAAAUUAUAAAAUUGAAGUCACAUUACAACGAUAUCAAAAAUAUAUACCAAAUACUGAUUUAAUAUCUGACUCCACCAAAAUACCGUUUGACCCGUCCAAAAGUUGAUCAUAUAAUACUAUAUUGGAUAAUCGAUAAUCAAUAUCAACGACAAUGGCAGAAAAAUAUUUAGGAUAGAGCUCACGAGAUUUUAUAGAGGUGAAUUUUGAAGCUUUGAAGCUACGAGAGCAUGUUUGAAACAUGGCCCAGGCAUGGAAUUUUAUACUUUUCCAUUUCCUUUUAUUCAGAUCAUCUGUUUUACUUUUAGCUUUCAGGACUAUUUGCUUUUUGGUGGGUUUUUUUACAUGUGGAAUGAGGUUUUUUAAAAUGGCAAAUUUUUCUUUGGUGGACCAAACUGUUCUCUUUUUUGAUGCCUCUUUUAUUUUUCUUCUUGUGUUCAAAAAUCAGAAGAAAGAAAACACCUUUGAGUAUUUCAACCAAUGAAUCUAAGACUGAUUUGAUUGAAACUUUAUGAAAAAUGCAUCAUGAUACAAGGAAUUUCUGCAAAAUAUGCGUUUUCACUAGUAAUAUUUUUCAUAAUUCAAAUUUGUUAAAUACACCCCCCCCCCCCCCCCCAAAAAAAAAAA